GACGAACGCUGGCGGCAUGCCUAAUACAUGCAAGUCGAGCGAACAGAUGAAGUGCUUGCACUUCUGACGUUAGCGGCGAACGGGUGAGUAACACGUAAGGAAUCUACCUAUAAGCGGGGGAUAACAUUCGGAAACGGGUGCUAAUACCGCAUAAUAUCUUCUUCCGCAUGGAAGAAGAUUGAAAGACGGCUCGGCUGUCACUUAUAGAUGACCUUGCGGUGCAUUAGUUAGUUGGUGGGGUAAUGGCCUACCAAGACGAUGAUGCAUAGCCGACCUGAGAGGGUGAUCGGCCACAUUGGGACUGAGACACGGCCCAAACUCCUACGGGAGGCAGCAGUAGGGAAUCUUCCGCAAUGGGCGAAAGCCUGACGGAGCAAUGCCGCGUGAGUGAAGAAGGCCUUCGGGUCGUAAAACUCUGUUAUAAGAGAAGAACAAAUUGUAGAGUAACUGCUACGGUCUUGACGGUAUCUUAUCAGAAAGCCACGGCUAACUACGUGCCAGCAGCCGCGGUAA
rnacentral:rRNA from 1 species